GAUGAACGCUGGCGGCGUGCCUAAUACAUGCAAGUCGAGCGAACAGACGAGGAGCUUGCUCCUCUGACGUUAGCGGCGGACGGGUGAGUAACACGUGGAUAACCUACCUAUAAGACUGGGAUAACUUCGGGAAACCGGAGCUAAUACCGGAUAAUAUAUUGAACCGCAUGGUUCAAUAGUGAAAGACGGUUUUGCUGUCACUUAUAGAUGGAUCCGCGCCGCAUUAGCUAGUUGGUAAGGUAACGGCUUACCAAGGCAACGAUGCGUAGCCGACCUGAGAGGGUGGUCGGCCACACUGGAACUUGAGCACGGUCCAAACUCCUACGGGGGGGCACAAGUGGGAACUUUCCGGAAUGGGGGGAAACCUUGCGGAGCAACCGCGCGGGGGGGGAGGAAGUCUUCGGAUCGUAAAACCCUUUUUUUAGGGAAAAAAAAAAGUGGAAGUAACUUAUCACGGCUUGACGGUACCUAAUCAAGAAGCCACGGCUAACUACGUG
rnacentral:rRNA from 1 species